UACGUAGGGGGGCUAGCGUUGUCCGGAAUCAUUGGGCGUAAAGCGCGCGUAGGCGGCCCGGUAAGUCCGCUGUGAAAGUCAAAGGCUCAACCUUUGAAUGUCAGCGGAUACUGCCGGGCUAGAAUCCGGAAGAGGCGAGUGGAAUUCCUGGUGUAGCGGUGGAAUGCGCAGAUAUCAGGAGGAACACCAAUAGCGAAGGCAGCUCGCUGGGACGGUAUUGACGCUGAGGCGCGAAGGCGUGGGGAGCAAACAGG
rnacentral:rRNA from 1 species